rnacentral:rRNA from 1 species
GACAGAGGGUGCGAACGUUGUUCGGAAUUACUGGGCGUAAAGCGCGUGUAGGCGGCCUUGCAAGUUAGAGGUGAAAGCCCGGAGCUCAACUCCGGAACUGCCUUUAAAACUGCAUAGCUUGAAUCCGGGAGAGGUGAGUGGAAUUCCGAGUGUAGAGGUGAAAUUCGUAGAUAUCUGGAGGAACACCGGUGGCGAAGGCGGCAUCCUGGACCGAUACUGACGCUGAGGAGCGAAAGCCAGGGGAGCAAACGGG